rnacentral:rRNA from 1 species
UACGUAGGGGGCAAGCGUUGUCCGGAAUUACUGGGCGUAAAGGGCUCGUAGGCGGCCAACUAAGUCGGAUGUGAAAUCCCCAGGCUUAACCUGGGAACUGCAUCCGAUACUGGAUGGCUUGAAUCCGGGAGAGGGAUGCAGAAUUCCAGGUGUAGCGGUGAAAUGCGUAGAUAUCUGGAGGAAUACCGGUGGCGAAGGCGGCAUCCUGGACCGGCAUUGACGCUGAGUGAGCGAAAGCCAGGGGAGCAAACGGG